rnacentral:rRNA from 1 species
UACGGGGGGGGCAAGCGUUGUUCGGAAUUACUGGGCGUAAAGGGCGCGUAGGCGGUGCUCUAAGUCGGAUGUGAAAACUCUGGGCUCAACCCAGAGCCUGCAUCCGAAACUGGAGUGCUAGAGUUCUGGAGGGGGUAGCGGAAUUCCUGGUGUAGCGGUGAAAUGCGUAGAUAUCAGGAGGAACACCGGUGGCGAAGGCGGCCUGCUGGGCAGUUGCUGACACUGAGGCGCGACAGCGUGGGGAGCAAACAGG